rnacentral:rRNA from 1 species
UACGAACCGUGCGAACGUUAUUCGGAAUCACUGGGCUUAAAGCGCGUGUAGGCGGACGGGCACGUCCGUUGCUGAAAUCCCCCGGCUCAACCGGGGAACGGGCGCGGAUACGACUCUUCUGGAGGGGCGUAGGGGGACCUGGAACUUCCGGUGGAGCGGUGAAAUGCGUUGAGAUCGGAAGGAACGCCCGUGGCGAAAGCGAGGUCCUGGACGCCUACUGACGCUGAGACGCGAAAGCGUGGGGAGCAAACAGG